GCAGUUGUGGCCUAAUGGUUAGAGAGUCGGACUUGUAACCCAAAGAACCUGAACUUGUAACAUGAACCUGAAGGUCGUGGGUUCGAGUCUCAGGUCCGGCA